rnacentral:ncRNA from 1 species
GCAGAGUAGAAAUAUGUGCGUUAAGUGCCGGCUGGACGGGGAGUUGCCAGCGGGACGAAAAGCAAUCGCUUGCGGUACAUGUUUCGCAUCCCGCUGC